UACUAUCAGUGUCAAUUUGGAAAAAGCUAUACAUUACUGGAGGCCUGUGCUAAACGGUGCUACAACCAUUAUAUUAUAAACUACUAACAUGUAAGCUAUCAGACUGAGAUAAACUAGCCUAGAGCUAGCUAGCGCUUAGCCACGCUAAAUAUGGUUAGCAUCAAGCUAGAGAACUGUUAAAUGCUAUUUUUGUAGAAAUAUCAACACAUUUUAUCGAGACAUCACAUAUUUACAUAUAUUACCUGAACUGAACUGAGUCUUUGAUAGAAAAUAAAACAAAUAGGAUCUAAAACUUUGUUGAAACAAAGUACAGAAAGUUCAGACGCCAUCUUGAUCCCUUCUCUUACAUGUAANNNNNNNNNNGGUGUGAUGGUAGGUAUGGUGAUGGUAGGUAUGGUGAUGGUAGGUGUGGUGAUGGUAGGUGUGUUUAUGUUCGGUGUGAUGUAGGUGUGACAGUUGUGGUAGGUAGAUAGGUAGGUGUGGUGAUUGCAGGUGAGGUAGCUGUGGUGAUGGUAGGUGUGGUAGGUGUGGUGAUGGAUGGUUUGGUGAUGGUAGGUAUGGUAGGUGUGGUGAUGGUCGGUGUGAUAGGUGUGGUGAUGGAUGGUUUGGUGAAGGUAGGUAUGGUAGGUGUUGUGAUGGUAGGUGUGGUGAUGGUAGGUGUGAGAGAAGUGGUGACGGUAGGUAUGUUACUUGUGGUGAUGGUUGGUGUGGUGGUAGUUGUAGUAGGUACAUUUGGUAAGUGUGGUGAUGAUAGAUAUGGUAGGUAUGGUGAUGAUAGGUGUGGUAAGUUUGAUGAUAAUAGAUGUGAUAGUUGUGGUAUUGGUGGAUUGUAGGUGUGUUGAUGGUAGGUGUGAUAGUUGUGGUAGGUCGAUGUGGUAGUUGUGGUAGGUAGGUUUGGUAGUUGUGUUUGGUAGGUGUGGCCGUUUUGGUAGGUAGGUGUGGUAGUUGUGGUACAUAUGUGUGGUGGUUGUGCUAGGUAGGUUUGGUGAUGGUAGGUUUUGUAGUUGUGGUGAUGAUAGGUGUGGCAGUUGUGUUAGUUGUGGUAGGUUGGUGUGGUGGUUGUGGUACAUAGGGGUGGUAGUUGUGGUAGGUAGAUGUGGUAGUUGGAAUAAGUAGGUGUGGUAGUUGUGGCAGGUAGGUGUGGUAGUUGUGGUGAUUAGGGUUGGGCGGUAUCCAUAUUUUCAUAUUGUCAUACCAUCCUUCUCUCAUACCGGGAUUUACAGUAUUACUGGCAUAGCACAUGAGGGGGUGCUAAAAACACAAGAAAAACCUAUUGCCCUCUAUUACCAGAAUGCUAACAAAUUAGCACAAACUGAUAGCAAAUUCACAUAGACGCUGUUAGCUAAAUGUAGAUCUCCUAAACAACCUACCAAAACUAUAGUUUGUUAACAAGAAAUUUGUGGAGUGGUUGAAAAAUGAGUUUUAAUGACUCCAACCUAAGUGUAUGUAAACUUCUGACUUCAACUGUAUGUACAUUCCUUUCUAGUGGGGCGACAAAUGAGUUGAGCAGGAGAAGAGGAUGAGGUUGGUGGUGGAGGAAGAGCAGUGGGGGUGGUGGGUAGAACAGCUGCAGUGACGUUGAUUGGUUGCUCUGGCUCAUCACUUGUUGACUAAAAGAAAGAAAGAUUUAGACAUUUGUUGGACAUUGCCAUAGUUCAACAGCUGAAAAGCCUUCAUUAACAUACUCCCAGAGAUAGAAAGACAUCCAGUAUUCACUGAAUGAAGGAGCCUAUUUACAAUUUCAUUCAUCAAUUAAAUAAAUGAUACUAUAGUACAUUCAAUGACGUUAUUA
rnacentral:lncRNA from 13 species